CAACAACAACCACAAUCAAAAGGUAAGAUUUUUUUUCAACCACAAUCAAAAGGUAAGAUUUUUUUUAAAUGUAUUUAAAGUCUCUUUUUAAAAAAUUUUUUAAAAGGAUUUCUUUUUAAAAAAAGUAUUAUGUGUUUUUAUUUUUAAUACUAAACAUUUUUUAAUUUGCAGUGCAACAACAACCUGGUAAGAAAUUAAUUUCAUGUUUUUAAAUAAUCUCUUUUAUAAAAAAACCUAUUUUUAUUUGUUGUGUUGUUGAUAUCAAUUUGUUUUUCUUUUACUUAAUUAUUUUUUUUUAUCUCUUUUUAUAUUUUAACUUGAAACACAACAACCACCACAAUCUGAUAAGAAAGAAACCUUUUGUUUUAAUGUAUUUAAAUCUUUUUUUUAAAAUUUCUUAAUAAUUUGUGUUUUUCUUUUUCUUUACUAACGCAUUUUUUUUUAAUCUGUAUUAAUUUUUUUAGUACAACCACAACAACAACCAUAAUCAGUGAACUUUCAACUAAUGUUUUUGCAAUCUAUGGAAGAAAUGUUCCGGGCACCAUCAUUGUCAAUGGCAGCAGCUGGCACAACUCUAAGCAACAAUAACAACAACAACAACAACAACAACAAGUGAACCAUCUGCUAUAAAGGCAGCUGCUGCUGGUACAAUUAGUUGCAAGAUCAAUCAUUCAAGAAUUUGUAUGAAGAGGAAUUAAAUUAAAACCAUGUAAAAGUAAUGAAUGACAAAUUUGUAUCGAAUGUUCUAAUCCAAUCUGUCGAGUUCAAUAUUACCUCUGUCCAACUCUGUCGAGUUCAAUAUAAACUUUUGCAUAUUGAUUUGGAAUCAGUUUAUAUUUUUGCAUUUAAUUUUUAGCCCUCCAACAUACUCAUUUUUAAAUUACAUUAUCAAUAAAAAUGGAGUUUUGCUUGUUGCACAAAUUCUAGCCCAAACCAAAAUAGAUUUGGGGGUUGAACAAUGAAGGAGGUGCCUGGACGUGGCUUUGUCAGAAUUCUAUCUUUUUGGCAGUUCUAGCUUUGCUGAACAAAAAAAACUUCUGAUUGGAAAAGAAGAUAUGCUCCCUGUGUGAAGUUGCGACACGCUUGAGCAAUUGGCGAAAUCUUUCUAGGCGAACUCGUUGAGAAGAUUUUUUUUUGCCUACGUUUUGAACUUCAGCCCCUCAACUAAAACGCUGGGGGGGGGGGGGGGCGGACACUACAUUUAGCUCCCCCCCCCCCUAUUUUUUAAUAGUUUUUAAAAAACAUUUAUGACAGCAAGAGCGGAAUUAUCACUUUCCAGUCUGCAAUGACUCAAUUUAGUUGAUUAAGAUGCUCCAAGAAGUCCUUACGGUCUUAUCACAGAGCACCGCGGAAGAGCAUUUAAUUGGAAGUUCACGCCUCCAUCCGAACUGAUGUCGCAAAACUCGCCCAGAGGUGGGGUUUGAACCACGGAUCUAACGUUUCUGAGGCAAGUGCGCUACCACUGCGCCACGGUUGCUAUUACCUUUCUAUUGACCUUCCUACGCCACUGUAUGUUAGUAUAGUAUAGUUGUAUAUGUUUUAUAGUAUAAUUGUAUAUGUUGUAUAGUAUAGUUGUAUAUGUUGGUGUAGUGUAGCUGUAUAGUAU